GCGCAGCAGUCGCGAAUUUUUCUCAAUGGGCGAAAGCCUGAAGGAGCGACGCCGCGUGGGGGAUGAAUGGCUUCGGCCCGUAAACCCCUGUCAUUUGUGAACAAAUUGCUUCACCUAAUACGUGAGGCAUUGAUUGUAACGGAAGAGGAAGGGACGGCUAACUCUGUGCCAGCAGCCGCGGUAAUACAGAGGUCCCAAGCGUUGUUCGGAUUCACUGGGCGUAAAGGGUGCGUAGGCGGUUUGACAAGUCUGAUGUGAAAUCCCGCAGCUUAACUGCGGAACUGCAUUGGAAACUGUUUGACUAGAGGGAUGGAGGGAGACUGGAAUACUUGGUGUAGCAGUGAAAUGCGUAGAUAUCAAGUGGAACACCAGUGGCGAAAGGCGAGUCUCUGGACAUUUCCUGACGCUGAGGCACGAAAGCCAGGGAGCAAACGGGAUUAGAUACCCGGGUA
rnacentral:rRNA from 1 species